CCUACGGGGUGCAGCAGUGGGGAAUAUUGGACAAUGGGCGAAAGCCUGAUCCAGCCAUGCCGCGUGUGUGAAGAAGGCCUUCGGGUUGUAAAGCACUUUCAGUGGGGAAGAAAGCCUUGGGGCUAAUACCCUCGAGGAAGGACAUCACCCACAGAAGAAGCACCGGCUAACUCCGUGCCAGCAGCCGCGGUAAUACGGAGGGUGCGAGCGUUAAUCGGAAUUACUGGGCGUAAAGCGCGCGUAGGCGGUCUGAUAAGCCGGUUGUGAAAGCCCCGGGCUCAACCUGGGAACGGCAUCCGGAACUGUCAGGCUAGGGUGCAGGAGAGGAAGGUAGAAUUCCCGGUGUAGCGGUGAAAUGCGUAGAGAUCGGGAGGAAUACCAGUGGCGAAGGCGGCCUUCUGGACUGACACUGACGCUGAGGUGCGAAAGCGUGGGUAGCAAACAGGAUUAGAUACCCGGGUAGUC
rnacentral:rRNA from 1 species